rnacentral:rRNA from 1 species
UACGUAGGGUGCGAGCGUUGUCCGGAAUUAUUGGGCGUAAAGAGCUUGUAGGCGGCUUGUCGCGUCUGCUGUGAAAGUCGGGGGCUCAACCCUCGAAUGCCGGUGGAUACUGUCGGGCUAGAGUGCGGAAGAGGCGAGUGGAAUUCCUGGUGUAGCGGUGAAAUGCGCAGAUAUCAGGAGGAACACCUAUUGCGAAGGCAGCUCGCUGGGACGUAACUGACGCUGAGACGCGAAAGCGUGGGGAGCAAACAGG